rnacentral:rRNA from 1 species
AUUGAACGCUGGCGGCAGGCCUAACACAUGCAAGUCGAGCGAGCGGCGGACGGGUGAGUAAUGUAUGGGGAUCUGCCCCAUAUAGGGGGAUAACUACUGGAAACGGAGCUAAUACCGCAUACUAUCUGAUGUACCCACAUCGGAUUAGCUAGUUGGUGGGGUAAAGGCUCACCAAGGCAACGAUCCGUAGCUGGUUUGAGAGGACGAACAGGCAAACUGGGACUGAGACAAGGCCCAGAACCCGACGGGAGGCAGCAGUGGGGAAUUUUGGACAAUGGGGGAAACCCUGAUCCAGCCAACCCGCGGGUAUGGUGGAGGCCUUCGGGUUGUAAAGUACUUUUGGCAGAGAAGCGGUAUCUGCAGAAUAAGCACCGGCUAACUACGGGCCAGCAGCCGCGGUAAUUCC